AUUGAACGCUGGCGGCAUGCCUUACACAUGCAAGUCGAACGGUAACAGGUUAAGCUGACGAGUGGCGAACGGGUGAGUAAUGUAUCGGAACGUGCCCAGUCGUGGGGGAUAACUACUCGAAAGAGUGGCUAAUACCGCAUACGACCUGAGGGUGAAAGCGGGGGACCGUAAGGCCUCGCGCGAUUGGAGCGGCCGAUAUCAGCUUAGCUAGUUGGUGGGGUAAAAGCCCACCAAGGCGACGAUCUGUAGCCGGUCGGAGAGGACGGCCAGCCACACUGGGACUGGGACACGGCCCAGACUCCUACGGGAGGCAGCAGUGGGGAAUUUUGGACAAUGGACGCAAGUCUGAUCCAGCCAUGCCGCGUGCGGGAAGAAGGCCUUCGGGUUGUAAACCGCUUUUGUCAGGGAAGAAACGAGUUUCUCUAAUACAGAGACUUAAUGACGGUACCUGAAGAAUGAGCACCGGCUAACUACGUGCCAGCCGCCGCCGUAAGAC
rnacentral:rRNA from 1 species